rnacentral:rRNA from 1 species
UGGGGAAUAUUGGACAAUGGGCGAAAGCCUGAUCCAGCAAUGCCGCGUGAGUGAUGAAGGCCUUAGGGUUGUAAAGCUCUUUUACCCGGGAUGAUAAUGACAGUACCGGGAGAAUAAGCCCCGGCUAACUCCGUGCCAGCAGCCGCGGUAAUACGGAGGGGGCUAGCGUUGUUCGGAAUUACUGGGCGUAAAGCGCACGUAGGCGGCUUUGCAAGUCAGAGGUGAAAGCCCGGGGCUCAACCCCGGAAUAGCCUUUGAGACUGCAUCGCUUGAACAUCGGAGAGGUAAGUGGAAUUCCGAGUGUAGAGGUGAAAUUCGUAGAUAUUCGGAAGAACACCAGUGGCGAAGGCGACUUACUGGACACAUAUUGACGCUGAGGUGCGAAAGCGUGGGGAGCAAACA